rnacentral:rRNA from 1 species
GUGGGGAAUUUUGCGCAAUGGGCGAAAGCCUGACGCAGUAACGCCGCGUGGAGGAUGAAGGCCUUCGGGUUGUAAACUCCUGUCGGGAGGAACGACGGGGAAAGGGUGAUAAGCCUUUUCUACCAGACGGUACCUCCAAAGGAAGCCCCGGCUAAUUCCGUGCCAGCAGCCGCGGUAAUACGGAAGGGGCAAGCGUUGUUCGGAAUCAUUGGGCGUAAAGGGCGCGUAGGUGGUUUUGUGUGUCUACCGUGAAAGCGUACGGCUCAACCGUAUUUAGUCGGUAGAAACUGCAGGACUUGAGGCUGGGAGGGGCUGGUGGAAUUCCCCGUGUAGCGGUGAAAUGCGUAGAGAUGGGGGAGAACACUCGUGGCGAAGGCGGCCAGCUAGACCAGUUCUGACACUGAGGCGCGAUAGCGUGGGGAGCAAACAGGAUUAGAUACCCUAGUAGUCC